rnacentral:rRNA from 1 species
GUGGAUUAGAUACCCGGGUAGUCCUAGCUGUAAACGAUGAGCACUAGAUCGAGGGCCUGCACAGGCUCUCGGUCGUAGCGAAAGUGUUAAGUGCUCCGCCUGGGGAGUAUGGUCGCAAGGCUGAAACUCAAAGAAAUUGACGGGGGCUCACACAAGCGGUGGAGGAUGUGGCUUAAUUCGAGGCUACGCGAAGAACCUUAUCCUGGUCUUGACAUGUUUUAGAACUCUCCUGAAAGGGAGAGGUGCCCGCAAGGGAGCUAUUGCACAGGUGCUGCACGGUCGUCGCCAACU